GAUGAACGCUAGCGGCAGGCCUAAUACAUGCAAGUCGAACGAGAUUGAGGAGCUUGCUCUUCAUGAAAGUGGCGCACGGGUGCGUAACGCGUAUGCAACCUACCUUAAUCAGGGGGAUAGCCUCUCGAAAGAGAGAUUAACACCGCAUAACAUUAUUAUAUGGCAUCAUAUGAUAAUCAAAUAUUUAUAGGAUUAAGAUGGGCAUGCGUGACAUUAGUUAGUUGGCGGGGUAACGGCCCACCAAGACGAUGAUGUCUAGGGGAUCUGAGAGGAUGACCCCCCACACUGGUACUGAGACACGGACCAGACUCCUACGGGAGGCAGCAGUAAGGAAUAUUGGUCAAUGGGCGCAAGCCUGAACCAGCCAUGCCGCGUGCAGGAAGACGGCCCUACGGGUUGUAAACUGCCUUUAUACUGGAAUAAACCUACUUACGUGUAAGUAGCUGAAUGUACAGUAAGAAUAAGGACCGGCUAACUACGUGCCAGCCGCCGCGGUAAAAC
rnacentral:rRNA from 1 species